rnacentral:lncRNA from 1 species
UAUCUAAGCAUAUGUAUGUUUUGGUCCAGUGUGGUUUUAUGCUUAUUAAUUAUCACAUUCUCAUCAUUUGCCAUUGGGAGUCUCUUUUAUGUCAUUUCCAAAGACCUUUUGAUAUAAUCCUAUAUAUAGUCUUCCAUAGCCUUUCUAUAUGAUAAACUGAUCACACUUAAUUCUAGUCUGGGACCCAGAUCUUGCCAUUUUAUCAUGGUUUCUUAGCUCUUUCAGUGGGUACCAGGAAGGUUUUGUUUGUUUAGGAACUCACAGUUUACAAAUGGGUAUGUAUUUGAAUGUAUCACUGCUGCUGGGCUAUUCAUUAGAAUGAAUACUUGCAUAUAUACCUGAAAACAUGCAAAGGAAAAUACAUGUGUAUCUGUUUAAAAAACAAAAUACUUUUUUUGUUAAAUGUUAGAUUUUUUAGUAAGACUACUUUGGAUUUGAAAAGUGUGAUUCAAUUGAAAUGUGACUUUUUUUUUUUUUUUUUUUUUAGAUUGGAUAAUAUUGUCAAGCAUAGCAACCACAAGCACAGUUCUUUAGGACUGGAGUCUUGGGGAUGGGGAAUACAUAUUGAUUAAAAUUUCAUUUUCUUAGUCAUAGGGUAAGACGUGAAACAUUGUUUAUCACCUAAGAGAUUGAGUGGCAAUUUGUGGCUCCUGAUGAGAAACUGACCUGCUCUAUGCUUGUUACAAGAGGUGCAGUCAGUGGGAUUGGAAAGGGAAAUUGAAUUUAUAUUGGUGUGUUAUCACAUGCAAUUAAUUUUACAUAUACACCAGAGGCACACGAACCUUUCUCCAGGUUGAAAUAUCUAUGCUCUGACUUAGUUUGAUAAAUAUAUUUUAGAGUUCUAUUCUUCUGUAAUCAUUGUGCAACUUUAGAAUAUGAAGUUUUUAUUAGGUUUCCUAUAAAGAAAUUAUAAUAAGAAAAAAAUAACUGGUUGUGUUCAUUUCUUUUCACAAAAGAUUCAUAUUGUACAAUGCAUUAUUUUCAUAUUUUUGUUUUCACUGUAAGAAAUAAAAUGUACAGAUCCCUUGUGUUAGUAAAAUAUGUUGUCAUCAUUUAAGACUGUAGCUACUUUUCAUUUAAAACAAUGUGAUGAUUCACUUAUGACGUGGGAAGUAGAUUAAGAGAAUAAUGUUAUGACAGAAAAAAAAUCAAGAAUACAAAAAUAAUAUUGUAGAUUAGGAAGAUAUCUUCAUGGGAAUUUUAUCCAGUGACCACAACAACACCUCAUCCGUAUGAGUGAAGCAGUAAGAGAAUGCUUAGUGGAGGAGGUGGGCUUUUACUCGGAUCUUGAAGCCUAGCUAACAUUUUUACACAGCUAUAAAAGAGGGCUUUCUAGGCACAGAGACAGACACCAAACAAAAACCACUUCAUUAGCACUUUGGGAUACUGAGUCAGGAAGAUUGUGAGUUCAAGGUCAAACCUCAGCUAGACUGUGUCUCAAAAACAAUUGUAAUUAAGAAGCAAGUUACAAACAAAACAAAACAAAAACCCUACAGUAAUUAGUAACUGUGGAACUUGUCAAAUCAUUUUGUUGCCUGACAUAUUAACUUUGACUUUAUGCUGUUGUAUCAUGUUAAACAGAUUUGAAUUUAUGUAGAAAUAAUUGUACUUUUGGCAAAGUUAGUGUAGUCGUUGGCCUCUGUAUUGCUUUCACAUGUACUGUGAAUGUAGUCAGCACCACAGUUGUGAUCUUUGGCUAAACUAAUUACUUUGCAUUUUUAACAUUCAUGCAUGCUUAGUUCUGUCUUAUAGAAUGUGCUUUCUCAGGAAAUGCUACCAGCAACUUCUACUUCUUUAAGACCCUGCUAAAAGUCAUGCCCUUUUUUAUCAUUAAGGAGUCUAUGGGUGACCUGUAUCAUCAUACAUGUUUUAAUGUAGCUUGCGUUAUGUACUGUGUAGCUAAAGCAGAAAAAUGAAUGAAAUUACAGUGUACACUUAAAUGUAGUGGCCCAGAAAUGGAGGCAGGAAGAUCCUGAUUUGAAGCCAGCCUGGGCUAUGGUAAAUUGAAACUUAGCCUGGUGCUACAUCCAAGACUCUGUCUAACUUAGCUUUCCCUC